GGAAAAAUGAAUUUGCUAAAUAAAUACUUGCUUUUAUCUUUGCUGUUGAGCGCAAUGGUUUCCAUCUCAAAUGGAAAUAGAGUUUGUCACGCUAUUUGAGGAAGUUGUGUCCCGCUCCAACAAGUUCCUUACCAAUGUGCAGAUCGGAGGUGGCAUCCGAACCUAACAUAUUGGUCCUACGAUUGUUCGAGAAAUCAUAUGUGUUGCAUUUUCUUGCGUCGAUUACAGCAAUAACGGAGCAGAUGUCAAAAGAUUUUCUACUGUAAAGAAAUACAGCAAGUAAUGUUGUCUCAAAGUUCCAGUAAACCGAUUUUAUCUCA